rnacentral:rRNA from 1 species
GAGUUUGAUCUUGGCUCAGAUUGAACGCUGGCGGCAUGCCUUACACAUGCAAGUCGAACGGCAGCACGGGAGCUUGCUCCUGGUGGCGAGUGGCGAACGGGUGAGUAAUGCAUCGGAACGUAUCCUGGAGUGGGGGAUAACGUAGCGAAAGUUACGCUAAUACCGCAUAUUCUGUGAGCAGGAAAGCGGGGGACCUUCGGGCCUCGCGCUCUUGGAGCGGCCGAUGUCGGAUUAGCUAGUUGGUGAGGUAAAGGCUCACCAAGGCGACGAUCCGUAGCAGGUCUGAGAGGAUGAUCUGCCACACUGGAACUGAGACACGGUCCAGACUCCUACGGGAGGCAGCGGUGGGGAAUUUUGGACAAUGGGGGCAACCCUGAUCCAGCCAUGCCGCGUGAGUGAAGAAGGCCUCGG